UGCUUUUUAGUCUAGUUACCAUCUUACUUCUAGCUAAAUUCCAAGAAUAAUCUCUUAUUUUUUGUUUGCAUAGAGAAAUUGGUAAUGAAGCAUAGGACUCCUGGUUUACGCCUUUUACCAAGUAGACAUUGCUUGCAGAAAGGUCAGUCAAGAUAGUGUAAUGUGUUAUUUUACUUGGUGAACCUGCAAUUGUUCCUAAUCUCACUCUAUUCCCUUAAUUUACAAUUAAAGAAAAUGAGUGAACUUAGUGAAGGAUACAACAUAAUUGGGCUCUCCCAGGUAAAAGAAUUUCUACACCCUAAUGUUUUCAACUCAAAGGUUUGAAGAAUCUCCAGUGAAUCAAUCUAUAUGCUAGAUGUUUGGUAGUUUCAAAUAACAAGCAUUGGAGUCUACAGAGAGUUCGAAUAUCUUGAGGUUUAUGUUUUCAAACUGUUUCUUCACAAGUAUUGGAGUAUCAACCUGAAAUACAAAAGAUUAAGGCUUAAAUUCUUAGUAAUUAACCUAAAAGAGCAAUAAGAUUGCAGUAAAUAAAUCUUCCAAUGUAGAUCUCUUAAAGUUUCCGAGCAUAAUUUUAUAAGCCUGGCAAUCUUUUUCAUGUUAGUUGUGUACACUUUCAUUUUUAUAAGCCUGGCAAUCUCUUUCAUGUUAGUUGUGUACACUUCCAUUUUUAUUGGUCACGUGAUUCCUCUCUUUUUAUUUCUUUUAUUUUUUUCUGGGGAGCAUGGUCGGCAGAGUGGUUAUUGAGUUCUGUGAUGGUGGACCUCUAGUGAGGAAUCUUAAAUCUCAAGCUAGUCCUUAUGCGGGGUCAUCUUCUGUUCCUUUCUAUGGUUCAGGAAUCUGGUGCAUUCUUGCAGACUCUUUACUCAAGCACACCUUGAUCUCGUAGGUUACAUUAAAAUCCCUACUGAGUAAUACAGGUGAUCAAAUUUGAAUGGUGGCCACCACAACUCAAUUUGAUCUAGAUUGAAGUAAAUGAUGAAAGAAUUUUUGAACUUUUUUAUAUACGUUUAAAUAUAUUUGAUUUUGUAUACUUUUAAAUACAUUUGAUUUUUUGUGGUAAAAGACAUGUUUUUUGGAGUUCA